CUUCUCUUCCCAUCACUCUGGUGCAAGUUGAUCUUGGUCUCAUCGGUCCAUAGGAUGUUGUUCCAGAACUGUGAAGGCUUUUUUAGAUGUUGUUUGGCAAACUCUAAUCUGGCCUUCCUGUUUUUGAGGCUUACCAAUGGUUUACAUCUUGUGAACCUUCUGUAUUCACUCUGAAUCUGGCCAACUGUUGGUAAGGGUGUUUUCUUCACCAG
rnacentral:lncRNA from 1 species